rnacentral:rRNA from 1 species
AUUGAACGCUGGCGGCAUGCCUUACACAUGCAAGUCGAACGGCAGCACGGGGGCAACCCUGGUGGCGAGUGGCGAACGGGUGAGUAAUGCAUCGGAACGUGUCCUCUUGUGGGGGAUAACCAGUCGAAAGAUUGGCUAAUACCGCAUGAGAUCGAGAGAUGAAAGCGGGGGACCGCAAGGCCUCGCGCGAGAGGAGCGGCCGAUGCCGGAUUAGCUAGNGGUGGGGUAAAGCCUACCAAGGCGACGAUCCGUAGCUGGUCUGAGAGGACGACCAGCCACACUGGGACUGAGACACGGCCCAGACUCCUACGGGAGGCAGCAGUGGGGAAUUUUGGACAAUGGGCGCAAGCCUGAUCCAGCCAU